CUACGGGCGGCAGCAGUGGGGAAUAUUGCACAAUGGGCGCAAGCCUGAUGCAGCCAUGCCGCGUGUAUGAAGAAGGCCUUCGGGUUGUAAAGUACUUUCAGCGGGGAGGAAGGGAGUAAAGUUAAUACCUUUGCUCAUUGACGUUACCCGCAGAAGAAGCACCGGCUAACUCCGUGCCAGCAGCCGCGGUAAUACGGAGGGUGCAAGCGUUAAUCGGAAUUACUGGGCGUAAAGCGCACGCAGGCGGUUUGUUAAGUCAGAUGUGAAAUCCCCGGGCUCAACCUGGGAACUGCAUCUGAUACGGGCAAGCUUGAGUCUCGUAGAGGGGGGUAGAAUUCCAGGUGUAGCGGUGAAAUGCGUAGAGAUCUGGAGGAAUACCGGUGGCGAAGGCGGCCCCCUGGACGAAGACUGACGCUCAGGUGCGAAAGCGUGGGGAGCAAACAGGAUAGAUACUCCCGUAGUC
rnacentral:rRNA from 1 species